rnacentral:hammerhead_ribozyme from 1 species
AGCCGAAACAGCGGAGUGAUCCGCUGUCUGCCGGGAAUGGCCGCCCGGCACUGAUGAGGCAGGCUGGA